UCUCCUGGCCUCAGAUGCUCCUCCAGUGGUCAAGAUGACAGGCUGCUCUUCUGAGGCAAACUCCCUCCUAAAGACCUGAGUUCUGACUCUUUAGACUCCAUCCAUCCAUUCCUUCAUUCACAAACAGCUGAAUACAGUGCUUCAGGAGCCUGGAGCGGAUGCUCUAGGGAGCUCCUGGGAGCCCAUGCUGCAGUGCUUCUCCAGCUCACAAGAAACAUGACUUUGAACUAGAAGCCCAGAAGGAAAGAAACAUUCAUUUUCUUGGAGAGUGAAUCAGCCCAGAAAGCUACCCUGGAGGGUGUGGUGGCUGACCUGGGGCUGCUGAGUUACCUCCUUGGAGGCAGAUGAAGGUGGUUGGCAGUUCCAAAUGCACUAUGGACACACACCAUGCUCAACACUGGACAGAGGCCUCGGGAAGCACUGUGGAGAUAAAGCAGAGCCCUGGCUGCAUACACCUCUGCUUGAGCUUCUUCAGGAAGUGGGAGGCUUGGGGAAGUCCUGUAUAUUCAAUGCUAUUUAGACUUCACAAUUUCAGUAGCCAUUUCCAGGCAGUAGAGACCUCCAAUCCAACCCUCAUGGCUUGGGGCUGGGGUGUGUCCGGAAUUUGGUGGUAUGGGUGCCAAGUAGAAUGCUGGAAUUGUCCUACCCUACCCACUCACUCACUCUGAUGAUGGCAAUAAUUGACUAUGCUUUCAGAUAAUCAACUGAGCUUUAAGAUAACUUUGAGCAGUUCCAUUGAGAUCUUUAUAAAUGGCCCUUACUUGGGAUACAUUUGAAUUUCAAGGGCUAGUAGGAAUUUACUUGAAAUAAAAUUAUUCUUUAAAAAGUCA